rnacentral:rRNA from 1 species
CUGAAGCUAUUCUUAGCGGCGGACGGGUGAGUAACACGUGGGCAACCUGCCUCGAAGUGGGGGAUAACACCGAGAAAUCGGUGCUAAUACCGCAUAACAUACAGAUAUCGCCUGAUGACUGUAUCAAAGGAGAAAUCCGCUUUGAGAUGGGCCCGCGGCUGAUUAGCUAGUUGGUGAGGUAAUGGCUCACCAAGGCGACGAUCAGUAGCCGACCUGAGAGGGUGACCGGCCACACUGGAACUGAGACACGGUCCAGACUCCUACGGGAGGCAGCAGUGGGGAAUAUUGCGCAAUGGGGGAAACCCUGACGCAGCAACGCCGCGUGGAGGAAGAAGGUUUUCGGAUUGUAAACUCCUGUCUUCUGGGAAGAUAAUGACAGUACCAGAGGAGGAAGCCACGGCUAACUACGUGCCAGCAGCCGCGGUAAUACGUAGGUGGCGAGCGUUGUCCGGAAUUAUUGGGCGUAAAGGGCGCGUAGGCGGCUCUUUAAGUCAGAUGUGAAAACCCAGGGCUUAACCUUGGGAGUGCAUUUGAAACUGAAGAGCUCGAGUGCAGGAGAGGUAAGUGGAAUUCCUAGUGUAGCGGUGAAAUGCGUAGAUAUUAGGAGGAACACCAGUGGCGAAGGCGACUUACUGGACUGUAACUGACGCUGAGGCGCGAAAAGCGUGGGGAGCAAACAGGAUUAGAUACCCUGGUAGUCCACGCUGUAAACGAUGGAUGCUAGGUGUGGGAGGUAUCGACCCCUUCCGUGCCGCAGUUAACGCAAUAAGUAUCCCGCCUGGGGAGUACGGCCACAAGGUUGAAACUCAAAGGAAUUGACGGGGGCCCGCACAAGCAGCGGAGCAUGUGGUUUAAUUCGAAGCAACGCGAAGAACCUUACCAGAACUUGACAUCGUCUG